rfam:Gloeocapsa sp. PCC 73106 scaffold_00163, whole genome shotgun sequence.
GGCGGCAUAGCCAAGUGGUAAGGCAGUAGAUUGCAAAUCUUCCAUCCCCCAGUUCGAAUCUGGGUGCCGCCU